GAGAGUGUGGCUGAGUGGUUUAAAGCGGUAGACUGUAAAUCUAUUGUAUAAUACAACGUUGGUUCGAAUCCAACCACUUCUA
rnacentral:tRNA from 1 species